UAGAGGCUCCAUUGGAAGCCCUUCUCUCCUUCACUCUGGUUCAAUCCCUCACUCUGUACCUCAUUUGCCCUCCCCCUACGUUUUUAUUCUUCCUUUUCAAGAUCUUUUUAUAUUCUCAGAGUUUCUUCUGCCUGCCUCGAUCUUUUCAACUCCUGCUUCCCAAAAGUUCUUCUAGUGGAGGAGCAGCCUGAGGGCAAUGAAACUGGUCUCCUCACUGUAAUGAUGCUACUUACCCACUCCUCAUAUCUCAACUUCUGCAGGUUUAGAGGUCAGAGUUCUCCCCGUGACAUUCCUCUCUUUACAAGUGAUCUUUGCAGCAGCAGCCAGACAGGAGGAGGGAAGAACUCUUGGAACUGAAAAGUUCAACAUGGAUUCUGACUGGGCAAUUGGAGACAGAAUAUCUGACGAGAAGGUGGGUUACUGACUGAACUACAGGGAAAAGUCAGUGAGAAGAAAUUAAUCAGAAGCAAGGUGAAGUGUGUGGACUUGAUUCUGCCAGGAACUGAGCAGCAGUCAAUUACAUGCUUAGAUGCUUUGCUGGAUCAGGGUCAAAGUAUUGAGCAUCUUGCAGAAGUUCAGGGCCAGAGUGUUUAGCACCUUGCCCUAACAGAAGAACAUUGUGAGGAAAGUGAUGGUGACAUGAAGAAAACAUCUCUAAUAAUAUAAUUGGAAGUACUACAAAUAUUUGGCACCCUUCAUAAAUGGAUCUCAAAGCAUUUACCAACUUUAAUUAGUUUACACUUUAUAUAUUAUGUAGCUCAAUAUGGCAAAAUGUGAUAGCAAGGUAUAUCUUGGGGUUUGAUAAUAGCUGGAUCUUCUUUAUGGGCCAAAUAUAACAGUUCUAACUCAGUCAAGUCAGUAGGAGCAGUGGAUGCUUAACACCUCUAAAAAUCAGGUCACUUCUUUUUUAGGAGCUUAACUAUGCAUGUAGGUGCCUAACUUUAGGAAUUCUAGAGUGGGAUUCUCAAAAGUGCCUAAGGGAAUUGAGUUGCAAUAGGAAUUUGAAAAUCCCAUCCUUAUGUUUGAAAUCCUAGCCAAUUAUAACAGUUUUUAUCCAGAAAGAUGAUGAUAUACCAUAAUUCUGUUACUCAAGUAAGGUUUUAAAUUAUUCAUUAUUUAUUCAGUCUGUAUUUCUGUUGAGAGGUAGGUCGACUGAAAUCAUCUGUACACAAAACAUAUGUUCAUAAAACACAGCCUCAUUUUCUACUCGGAGGUGUUUUGUUUUUUUUUUAAGUUCAGUAUGUGUGGAUCCAUGCCUGAAUCCUAUUCCAUUUCAGGUUGCUUUCAAACAUGGCCAAAGAAAGGAAAGGAGAAAAUGAAUUGAU